ACCUAAUUUUGGAAUGAAGCUGCACUAGCGUGUGCCACCUGAGGAUACUGUGGUGUGGUAGUAAUGCCAUUCCACGGACUUCUGUGGCUCACUGACUUCAGGGCUGACUUUAAGGGGUUAUGCCCCCUUAGCACACUGAUGAACUGAAGAUCUGAUAUCUCCUCUCUGUCUUGUGGACAUCAGGGCGCUGCAGCCUUCCUAAUAACUAGCCAUGUCUCAAUGGCUCAUCCUGAGCAUUCCUUCUCCAGACCUGCCUGUGGAUUUUUUUAACCAUCUCUCAACUUGCCAGACCAAUUUCUUCAGUAAGUGUCUGCUGACAUUGGCAGAUGUUCUCUUAAGCGCUGGGACAUUGGACAUUCUCUUGGGACAUUGACUUAGAUAUGAGCAUGGUGUCAUGGUGAGAGGUGAAGAAAGGAGAAGACAGCAGAGGUGAAGCUGGACUGUCGUUCAUAGGGACAGAUCAUAGGAACUUAAUUUACAAUGAAAAGCUGAUUUGGGGAUGACCCAUGUGUGAAGACAGAUAAUCAAAAUACUACCCAGCAUGGAAAUGAUCUGUCACCCUAAGGAUGAGUCUCUUGUAGCACCUCCUGCCUGUGGCAAGCUGAGGAGGAGGAAGGAUACACUGGUGUUAAAGGUGACACAGAGAAGUUCAUAUUGCCUCCUACCACUACCUAUUUACCAUUCUCUGAAUCAACAUUCCCCUUCCUUGGCUCC